AUAAAAAUUAUUUUAAACAACUUAAUUAAACUAAUUGAUUUUACCUUGAAUAAUUAUACCUUCAUUUUUAAAAAGUUCAGUGAAUUAUUGGACCAGAUGUUCCAGAAAGGGGAUGGGAAAACUCUGCCUGCUGAAGUGGACUCUGUCCAACGUUAAAGUACACUGCAUAAUUUGUGUGGCAGAGAAAACCCAUCACCAUCUCCAGCAAUGCUCAGAAAUUGAUGUUUGCCUCAAACUACUUCUUGAACAUUUCAUACCCAGGAGUACAAAGUGCAAGGCUAGAGUUUGUGCAAAGCAGGUUUCUUUUAAAAUGGAACCCAGAGAAGGAAGUGGAGAAGACCAGAGGAAUCAGAGAAGAAUCGGAAGUGGAGAAGACCAGAUCAAGGAAGACCACAUUAAGAUCUGCGGAGGAAACCGGAGAGCCCAGGGAAAACCAACGCAAACACGGGGAGAGCAUGCAAACUCCACACAGAAAUGCAGACUUGGCCAGGUAAGAUCUGAGCCAGUGAGAUUCUUGCUGUGAGGCAAUAAUCCU